GGAUGUACGGUGAAGAGAUUUCGGUCAAUCAUGUGCAUCUUUAGUGGCGGACGGGUGAGUAACGCGUGGGUAACCUGCCUUACACAGGGGGAUAACACUUAGAAAUAGGUGCUAAUACCGCAUGAGCGCACAGGACCGCAUGGUCGAGUGUGAAAAACUGAGGUGGUGUAAGAUGGACCCGCGUCUGAUUAGCUGGUUGGUGAGGUAACGGCCCACCAAGGCGACGAUCAGUAGCCGGCCUGAGAGGGUGGACGGCCACAUUGGGACUGAGACACGGCCCAAACUCCUACGGGAGGCAGCAGUGGGGGAUAUUGGACAAUGGGGGGAACCCUGAUCCAGCGACGCCGCGUGAGUGAAGAAGUAUCUCGGUAUGUAAAGCUCUAUCAGCAGGGAAGAAGAAAUGACGGUACCUGAGUAAGAAGCCCCGGCUAACUACGUGCCAGCAGCCGCGGUAAUACGUAGGGGGCAAGCGUUAUCCGGAAUUACUGGGUGUAAAGGGAGCGUAGACGGUGAUGUAAGUCUGGAGUGAAAGGCGGGGGCCCAACCCCCGGACUGCUCUGGAAACUAUGUGACUGGAGUGCAGGAGAGGUGAGCGGAAUUCCUAGUGUAGCGGUGAAAUGCGUAGAUAUUAGGAGGAACACCAGUGGCGAAGGCGGCUCACUGGACUGUAACUGACGUUGAGGCUCGAAAGCGUGNGGAGCAAACAGGAUUAGAUACCCUGGUANUCCACGCCG
rnacentral:rRNA from 1 species